rnacentral:lncRNA from 1 species
ACUACAGCUCCCAGCGUUCCCUGCGUGCCCACGCCGCCAGACCACAAUUCCCGGCGUGCAUAGCACCCGGGGCGCCGGCCCGGCAACUGCCAAGCUCUGGACUACAGCUCCCAGCAUGCACCGCUAGAGGGGGGCCCGAACGCCACUGAGGGGCUCAAAGUGCCGCGUUCGAGGGCGGGCCGGGGCCGAGCCCGCGGGCGCUGCCCGGGUAAAGACCCAGUCUCAUUGCAGGGUCCGAGCUGGGCGGUUCUCUGGUCCGUGGGGUCGGAGUUUCGUGCUGCUCCCCGGAGAACACUCGGUGAGCAAACACGGCCAGUUCACCCCCACAGACGAGUCCUGAGAGGAUGUGUGUGCCAGGCACCAGCGCAGCACUGGGCAUGUGCCCUCGGCUGUGCAGUCACCCACAGCCCACCCUUUGCUUUUUCUUAGUUUAUGUUUCCUAACAUGGUGUCAGUCACCUCUAUGACCAUUAGUUUAGUUUCUUCGCAACGGCAAACACAAGUGAUGCUGCACCUCAAAACCAGACUUCAGACGCUGCUUCACAGAAUCCAGCAGCUUCCAUCCUGAGCAAUCACUGUGCUACUACUCAGAGGGUUUUGGGCACAAUUCCUGCAGCAAACACAAUCCUUGCUUAAAGACACAUCACGGAGCCUUCAGAAUUUUAUUAGGGAAGAUUAGACAUUGGUUAAGCAGAAAAGCAAUGAAGUCAUGAGCACCAGAACCUCGCUGAGGUCCCUCAGAACAUCUCCCUUUUGCACCCUCUCAGAUCCUACCCAGUCUCUUCCUAGGGAUUGCUUGAGCCAAGGGUAUUUCUUGCCAAGACCACCCUGCACAGGGUAAGGGUGCUGGCAAUAAUUGCUGCACAACCACACCAUCCCUGUGCCAGUCCUGCCCCUUGGGCUGGUCGAGCUUCAGCUGCCAUGCAGCAGCACCAUGCCCACCCAGCUCAGACUGCAUCUGAGGGGAGGAUAAAGGAGAGUGCAGAGUACCAGUUCAGCCAAAGGAACAACCUUCCCACUUCUCAAGCAAUCAAGUAAAGGACACUGUGCCUUUUUCCUUGUCCAUCUGUGCUGUGGGAAACUCAGGUAGGUGAAUCUUUACACAUAGAGACAGUGCCACUUACCCCCCCAUCCUUCCCACUCACACUCUGAAAAAAUAUUGAUAACUGCAAAUCAAAGCCAUUUUUACCCAAAACACAGGUGAACUCCAGCAGGAACAUAGCACUGACCCAUUCAUCUUUUGGAGCUUUACAAUGAAACAGACACCCUUAAAUGUUUCACUUCAGUGUCAGUACUAAUGUCAGCCUCAUUUUUCAUGGUCUUGUUUAAAUCCACACUCUGACCUGGCUAAAGUCCCCCUCCAAGGCACAGCACACCAGCCCCAGCUCCCACUGGAGCACUCAUGAACCCCACUGACACCUCUGUGAGCC